GACGAACGCUGGCGGCGUGCUUAACACAUGCAAGUCGUACGGUAAGGCCCUUUCGGGGGUACACGAGUGGCGAACGGGUGAGUAACACGUGAGUAACCUGCCCACAACUUUGGGAUAACGCUAGGAAACUGGUGCUAAUACUGGAUAUGUGCUCCUGCUGCAUGGUGGGGGUUGGAAAGCUCCGGCGGUUGUGGAUGGACUCGCGGCCUAUCAGCUUGUUGGUGGGGUAGUGGCCUACCAAGGCGGCGACGGGUAGCCGGCCUGAGAGGGUGACCGGCCACAUUGGGACUGAGAUACGGCCCAGACUCCUACGGGAGGCAGCAGUGGGGAAUAUUGCACAAUGGGCGCAAGCCUGAUGCAGCAACGCCGCGUGCGGGAUGACGGCCUUCGGGUUGUAAACCGCUUUCAGCAGGGACGAAGCUUUUUGUGACGGUACCUGCAGAAGAAGCACCGGCUAGCUACGUG
rnacentral:rRNA from 1 species